rnacentral:rRNA from 1 species
CCUACGGGAGGCAGCAGUGAGGAAUAUUGGUCAAUGGACGAGAGUCUGAACCAGCCAAGUAGCGUGAAGGAUGACUGCCCUAUGGGUUGUAAACUUCGUUUAUAGGGGAAUAAAAUGUUCCACGUGUGGGAUUUUGUAUGUACCAUAUGAAUAAGGAUCGGCUAACUCCGUGCCAGCAGCCGCGGUAAGACGGAGGAUCCGAGCGUUAUCCGGAUUGAUUGGGUUUAAAGGGAGCGUAGGUGGAUUGUUAAGUCAGUUGUGAAAGUUUGCGGCUCCACCGUAAAAUUGCAGUUGAAACUGGCAGUCUUGCUUACAUUAGAGGUGGGCGGAAUUCGUGUUGUAGCGG